CUAUGAAUGAAAGUUUACAACGUCGGUGCACACAGGUCGAGAGAAUCAUUUGAGGUGACAGACAGUAACACACAUUCAAUACCGCCUUCCACACUGUUUCCUUAAUCUAGGUUUUCUGUGGUGUAAUCAUUUGUCCAAAAGUUGCAAAAGAUAGUUUCUAUUAGACAAAUUCAGGUAUGUUUAUCCCAGUUUCGUUCCGUUUGCUCCUAUUUACGAAACGUUUUUCAACCGAAUCGGCGGAAUGAAUAAACCCCUGGUCACGCGUAAACAAAGUUCACUUUCAUAGCAGCACGUGGUAUUCCUUCUCGCCUCUAUAAAUUCUCCCCCUCUCACCUUUUCUUCUCGUUUGUGGAGUUCAGUGCACAUCACAUCAGCUGUAUGUGACCAGGCGAAAGAACCUUUCCAAGUGGUGUGUUACAGUAAAACAGGGACUAAUCCAUACUGGACCAAUGCUGCCUCCAGGAUACAGUAUGUCUGUCUAAUGUACCCCAAUGCAGCACCAGAGCAAUUUGGGCAUAAUUUGGAGCUCACACCAGAGUCCAAAAGUCCAGAAGAAGCGCAGGGUGAGUGGGCGCCAGGCAGGCAGCUCUGCUCUGUGGGUCCAGAGAGACAGGCUCCAGCCAGCACUGUGAGAGAGAGGCUGAACUUGGUUCUGCUCCGGUUCUGGUGCUGGCUCACCGGCAGGCCCCCGCGGCUCGGGCCCCACUCCAGGAUGGGCAGCAGCAGAGCGGACAAAGGAGCUCAGUCUCUACAGGGGGUGUUGGGGG